UGUUUCUGCUGGUAAUAUUUCAAGCUGAAUUUCUCUUUCAGUUCUAAAAUGUCUACAGUGGGCAUCAGGGUUCUGAGGAUGUUGUUGGUCAACUGAGUUCAGCAGUAGAGGUGGCAUCCACAGUGAUACUACUUUGUUAUUAUUCCUUUGCCAAGAUGAAUAAAGCAAGGCUAAAGUAAGGCUCUUCAGACAAUUCAUUAAUCCCACUAUUUGGAAAGCCUAUUCAGAUUUUUCUAUUCACAUCAAGAUUCUGCAGAAAAUGGAGUUAAGACAGAUGUUAUCCAACCCUAUCAAGCAUUGUCUAUGAUGCCUGCAAUUCAAGUCCAUGAGCUUCAUCAAGUUUUAUAUAAAUAGAUGCAAGUGUAUAAUUGAAAUAAAAAAAAUUAAUGGCCCCAAAUAGGGGGACAUUAAAAUAUGGCUCAAUAAAAUGUGUCCAUCCAUAUAAUAGAAUAUAAGCAGCCUA